rnacentral:rRNA from 1 species
GACAGGGGUCUCGAGCGUUAAUCGGAAUCACUGGGCUUAAAGGGUGCGUAGGCGGGUCUUUAAGUCAGGGGUGAAAUCCUGGAGCUCAACUCCAGAACUGCCUUUGAUACUGAGGAUCUUGAGUUCGGGAGAGGUGAGUGGAACUGCGAGUGUAGAGGUGAAAUUCGUAGAUAUUCGCAAGAACACCAGUGGCGAAGGCGGCUCACUGGCCCGAUACUGACGCUGAGGCACGAAAGCGUGGGGAGCAAACAGG